UCUCGUAAGGAAACGGUAGUUUCCUGUAAACUUGAGAAAAAUAUCAACGCAUGACAAACUUUUAAUAGGUCCUUGAUAUCAACGGACUGUACGGAAUCAUUUUUACGGGUGGCGCCGUGGAGGUGAUGGAGGGAGGCCAGGCAACAUUUAUUUUUUCAUUCCCUUCGAUAAACACAAGACGGGGGGCAACCAAACAUACCAUCAAGCAUAAAAGAAGCAUUAUAUAAUACAGAUAUGGAGAAUUAAGGCCCGCCCAUCUUUGCACCUGAGCAAGAAUCCAACUGGUCUCCAUUCUACGAUGAAUGAGGAGAGAGAGGACUGGGGUCCCAACUCUAAAACCACUCUGUCUGGGGAACAUGGCCGCCAGAGCAAAGCUAAGAGCCCAGAGCAGCAGAAGAGAGUAAACUCCCCUGUACCAAGCCGUGUCCUCCAUGAAGAGUGAUG